ensembl:lncRNA
CGUGAUGCAAGUUGAGGUUCAUCGGAUUGCAGUCUAUAUACUCCGUGCUGCGUACCAGCUCUCUGUGGCUAGACACGCGCACUGCUGCUGACUCUGAGCCAAUCAGAGAGAGCAGCGUGCCAUACAAACCCCAGAGAAGCUCGAGGAGGACAGUGGAUCGGAGUCAUGAACUGGGAGAUAAACAGCCAGUUUGAGCUGCAGCUUCACAGAAACAACAGAAACCUGACGCUGUCGCUGAUGGAGCUCCGACAGCUGUAUGAAGAAAACAACCGCCAAGCUCCUGGGAUCAUCUUAGGUCUGCUCAGGUGUGCUAAGAUUGAUGGAAGACCUCUGGAUACUGUACUGCUGGAGAAGCUGCUUGGCUGCAUCAUUGCUGGCUGUGCUUUUGGGGUUAAUGUGAUUCAAAAAAUGUUUUGACGAAGGAUUUGUAACAGAAGAACAGAAGCCACGAUGAAGAGAUCAUCUGAAAAAAAAUUUCAUCAAUAAUGACGAAUCCUGGGGAAGACUGCUGGAACGGUCCUGCCUCUGCUGCCAACCUCCUGUCCGACCGCUGGAGCGGUCCUGCCUCCGCCGCCGGUCUCCUGCCCGACCGCCCGGAGUUACCCAGUCCACCUAGCCUGCCUGCGGGAUUUAAAUUUUUGUUUUUGGAGCAGAGAGCCACCUCUCCAGCGCUGAAGGAGCCGAGAGCCGUUGGUCUCCUGCCUGACCUCCGGAGUGGUCCCGCUGGCACCGUCCCGCCUUCGCGGCCCCUUCUCUGCUGUUGGCCCUCCUGCCUCACGGCUGGAGGAGUCCUGCCGGAGCAGUCCCGCCUUCGCCGUCGGCCUCCUGCCUGACCACCAAAGCGGUCCCGCUGGCACAGUCUCGCCCUCACAGCCCCUUCUCCGCUGCCAGCCUCCUGCCCGACCGCCGGAGCGGUCCCGCCUCUGCCACUGGCCUCCUGCCAGACUGCCAGAGUGAUUCCACCUCUGCAGCUGGCCUCCUGCUCGACCGCCGGAGCGGUCCCGCCUCUGCCGCCAGCCUCCUAUCCGUCCGCUGGAGCAGUCCCACCUCUGCAGCUGGCCUCCUGCCCGACUGCCAGAGCGGUCCUGCCUCUGCAGCAAGCCUCCUGCCCAAGCGCCGGAGCAGUCCCACCUCUGCUGUCGGCCUCCUGCUCGACCGCCGGAACGGUCCCGCCUCUGCCGCCAGCCUCCUAUCCGAUCGCCGGAGUGGUCCUGCCUCUGCCGCCAGCCUCCUGCUCAACCGCCAAAGCGGUCCCGCUGGCACGGUCCCGCCUUCACGGCCCCUCCUCCGCUGCCAGCCUCCUGCCCAACUGCCAGAGCGGUCCCGCCUCUGCAGCUAGCCUCCUGCUCGACUGCCGAACCAGUCCGGCCUUCGCCGCUAGCCUCCUGCUCGACCGCCGGAGCGGUCCCGCUUCUGCCGCCAGCCUCCUAUCCAACCGCCGGAGUGGUCCCACCUUCGCCAUUGGCCUCCUGCCUGACCACCAAAUUGGUCCCGCUGGCACGGUCCCACCUUCACAGCCCCUCCUCCCCUGCCAGCCGACUGCCAGAGCGGUCCCGCCUCUGCAGCUAGCCUCCUGCUCGACCGCCGGAGCGGUCCCACCUCUGCCGCCGGCCUCAUAUCCGACCGCCAGAGCGGUCCCGCCUCUGCCGUCGGCCUCCUGCCCGACCGCCGGAGCAGUCCCGCCUCUGCCGCCGGCCUCCUGCCCAACUGCCAAAGCGAUUCCACCUCUGCAGCUAGCCUCCUGCCUGACCGCCGGAGCGGUCCCGCCUCUGCAGCUGGCCUCCUGCUCGACCGCCAGGGCAGUCCCACCUCUGCCGCCGGCCUCAUAUCCGACCGCCAGAGCAGUCCCGCCUCUGCCGUCGGCCUCCUGCCCGACCGCCGGAGCGGUCCCGCCUCUGCCGCCGGCCUCCUGCCCAACUGCCAAAGCGAUUCUGCCUCUGCAGCUAGCCUCCUGCCUGACCGCCGGAGCGGUCCCGCCUCUGCAGCUGGCCUCUUGCUCGACUGCCAGAGCGGUCCUGCCUCUCCCUCUGGCCUCCUGCCCGACUGCCAGAGCAGUCCCGCCUCUGCAGCUAGCCUCCUGCCUGACCGCUGGAGCAGUCCCGCCUUUGCAGCUAGCCUCCCACCUGACCGCCAGAGUGGUCCCGCCUCUGUUGUCGGCCUCCUUCCGACCGCCAGAGCAGUCCCGCCUCUGCAGCUAGCCUCCUGCCAACUGCUGGAGUGGUCCCGCCUCUGCAGCUAGCCUCCUGCUCAACUGCUGGGGCGGUCCCGCUUCUGCCACCGGGCUCCUAUCCGAUCGCCGGAGCCGGUACUGCCUCUGCCGCCGGCCUCCUGCUCAACCGCCAAAGCGGUCCCGCUGGCAUGGUCCCGCCUUCACAGCCCCUCCUCCACUGCCAGUCUCCUGCCCGAAGGCCGAACCAGUCCCACCUUCGCCGCUAGCCUCCUGCCCGACGCCGGAGCGGUCUCGCCUCUGCCGCCGGCCUCCUAGCCAUCCGCCGGAGCGGUCCCGCCUUUGCCAUCAGACUCCUGCCUGACCUCCGGAGUGGUCCCACUGGCACGGUCCAACCUUCGCGGCCCUUCCUCCGCUGCCGGCCUCCUGCCCAAAGGCCAGAGCAGUCCCGCCGGAGCAGUCCUGCCUUUGCCGUCGGCCUCCUGCCUGACCACCAAAGUGGUCCCGCUGGCACGGUCCCGCCUUCACGGCUCCUCCUCCGCUGCCAGCCUCCUGCCUGACUGCCAGAGCGGUCCCGCCUCUGCAGCUAGCCUUCUGCUCGACUGCCGGAGUGGUCCCGCCUCUGCAGUUAGCCUCCUGCUCGACCGCUGGAGCGGUCCCGCCUCUGCCGCCGGCCUCUUAUCCGACCACCGGAGUGGUCCUGGUUUUGCUCUCAGCCUCCUGCCCGACCGCCGGAGCGGUCCCACCUCUGCCACCGGCCUCCUGCCCAACCGCCAAAGUGGUCCCCCCUCUGCAGCUAGCCUCCUGCCCAACCGCCGGAGUGGUCCCGCCUCUGCAGCUAGCCUCCUGCUCGACCGCCGGAGCGGUCCCGCCUCUGCUGCCGGCCUGCUAUCCAACCACCGGAGUGGUCCGGCAUUCGCCAUCAGCCUCCUGCCCGACCACUGGAGCGGUCCCACGUCUGCCACCGGCCUCCUGCCCGACCGCCAGAGCGGUCCCGCGUCUGCAGCUAGCCUCCUGCCUGAUCGCCGGAGAGGUCCUGCCUCUGCCACCGGCCUCCUAUCCGAUCACCGGAAUGGUCCCGCCUCUGUCGCCGGCCUCCUGCAUGACUGCACUAUUUUAGUGACUCAAUAAAUGCCUAAGUAUUUAAUAAACAUUUCUUUAAUAGCCUAUAUGUAAUCAAUAAAUGGCCUUUCCCUAUCUAAAGAAAAACUCUCUCAGAACUGUUAAAUAAGUUAAUAAGUAAUUACAUUAAUCUUAUCUUAACUGUGUUAAGAUAAGAUUUAGAUGGAGAAAAAAAGUAGAGAAUUUCUUUGUCCAGUAUUCUGCAUUCAGUUGUUUAUGUUUUUGCAGAAUCCAGUAUUGCACACUGGUUGGUCAUUACAUUUUAUUAGUCUGGUUUCGCUG